rfam:Brachypodium distachyon strain Bd21 chromosome 3, whole genome shotgun sequence.
ACUGUACUCCCUCGUUUCAUAAUUCUUGUCUCAAAUUUGUCCAAAAAUGAAUGUAUCUAUUCUUAAAAAAUAUCUAGAUACAUGUAAGAUUUCGACAAAAAUUAUGGAACGGAGGGAGUAGAAA